GGGUCUGCGUGCGGGCCGGGCCGGCCCCUGACGCGCGCUCCUCCCCUGCCCCAGCACCCUGGAGGGCGGCCCCUCGGCCCGCAGGCAGCGGUGGCAGCGGGACCUCAACCCAGAACCUGAGCCAGAAUCGGAAGAGCCAGACGGAGGCUUUAGGACGGUGCGAUCCCACCCCUCCGUCGGGGCUUUGCCUGCUGGGUGCCCAGCUUCCUGGCUUCCCCGCCCCCCCAGCAUCGCCCCAUCCUCCACCUGACCCUCCUCUACCUGACCCCCAGCUGUAUGCAGAGCUGCGCAGGGAGAACGAGCGGCUUCGCGAGGCCCUGACCGAGACCACGCUGCGGCUGGCGCAGCUCAAGGUGGAGCUGGAGCGGGCCACGCAGAGGCAAGAACGCUUCGCUGAGAGGCCAGCCCUCCUGGAACUGGAGAGAUUCGAGCGCAGGGCCCUGGAACGCAAGGCCGCAGAGCUGGAGGAGGAGCUGAAGGCCCUGUCUGACCUCCGCGCUGACAACCAGCGCCUCAAGGAUGAGAAUGCAGCGUUGAUCCGCGUCAUCAGCAAACUCUCCAAGUGACCCGGAGGGACUUUCCCGCACCCGUAUUUAUACAGCUGCUUCUGCCACACGCACCCCUUCCCCCGUGUGAACACGAGUGACAGGGCUCCGGGGGAAGUCUCAGAGAAGCCAUAGCCCCCCUGGGACCUCCGGACUGGGAGGGGAGCAGAGUCCCCAGGAGCCGAGGGGGCCACCCGAGGCCAGGAUGGAGGUGGGAGGCCGAGCCAAGCAGGGGGACGUUGCCAGAGGGGACCAGGGCCAGAGACGGGACCAGGAAGGAACUGA
rnacentral:lncRNA from 10 species